UACAGAGGUCCCAAGCGUUGUUCGGAUUCACUGGGCGUAAAGGGUGCGCAGGUGGCCGCGCAAGUUCGAUGUGAAAGCCCCGGGCUUAACCCGGGAAUGGCAUUGAAAACUGCGUGGCUGGAGGAUCGGAGGGGGGACUGGAAUUCUUGGUGUAGCAGUGAAAUGCGUAGAUAUCAAGAGGAACACCAGUGGCGAAGGCGAGUCCCUGGACGAUACCUGACACUGAGGCACGAAAGCCAAGGGAGCAAACAGG
rnacentral:rRNA from 1 species